CACAGCCAGCUUUCGACGGAGCGCGGCCUGCAGUCAGCACCGGGCAGAAAUGCACGGGCUGGCCCUUUCCACCGGACACGCAGAAGGCAGCGCCGGCCGGGGCGCGACUCCGACCCACCAGGUUUCGGUUAGACCGCAACAGGAAGUUUUCUUUUCCCUUGCGGGAAGCAGCGCAACCAGAAAAAUUUGAACUCCGACUCCCUCGGGAGCACCCAAGGAUCUGGUCUCUCUCCAGUGUCCUUAAUAAGAGGCACUGCCAUUCAGAUGGUUGCACAAGGCAGAAAAUAGAGGAGUACCUAAAAGAGGGUGGAAGAUGCUUAUUGCUUGGUUGCCCAGAAGAAUCAUGGCUGUUGCUGAUAAUUAUGACUGACAGUGAGCAAGGAAAGCCUGCCAGGCCUUCCCUUGUUCCUAGACAACAGACUCAACACUGAUUAAACUUAUAACCCUGGAAUUUAAUAAAUUUCCUAGUCACUGAGUUUUGGACUUAGAACAACAACAACAACAAAAAAAACCUAAAAAACAAGAAA